GGGUUGUGAGGUUAAGCGACUAAGCGUACACGGUGGAUGCCCUGGCAGUCAGAGGCGAUGAAGGACGUGCUAAUCUGCGAUAAGCGUCGGUAAGGUGAUAUGAACCGUUAUAACCGGCGAUUUCCGAAUGGGGAAACCCAGUGUGWUUCGWCACACUAUCAUUAACUGAAUCCAUAGGUUAAUGAGGCGAACCGGGGGAACUGAAACAUCUAAGUACCCCGAGGAAAAGAAA
rnacentral:rRNA from 1 species